rnacentral:rRNA from 1 species
CAGGCCUAACACAUGCAAGUCGAACGGUAGCACAGAGAGCUUGCUCUCGGGUGACGAGUGGCGGACGGGUGAGUAAUGUCUGGGAAACUGCCUGAUGGAAGGGGAUAACUACUGGAAACGGUAGCUAAUACCGCAUAACGUCGCAAGACCAAAGAGGGGGACCUUCGGGCCUCUUGCCAUCAGAUGUGCCCAGAUGGGAUUAGCUAGUAGGCGGGGUAACGGCCCACCUAGGCGACGAUCCCUAGCUGGUCUGAGAGGAUGACCAGCCACACUGGAACUGAGACACGGUCCAGACUCCUACGGGAGGCAGCAGUGGGGAAUAUUGCACAAUGGGCGCAAGCCUGAUGCAGCCAUGCCGCGUGUAUGAAGAAGGCCUUCGGGUUGUAAAGUACUUUCAGCGAGGAAGAAAAAAAUAAAACUAAUAAUUUUAUCUAUUGACGUUACUCGCAAAAGAAGCACCGGCUAACUCCGUGCCAGCAGCCGCGGUAAU